rnacentral:tmRNA from 1 species
GGGGAUGUUCCGGUUUCGACGGGGUUUUCAAGUUGUGGACGGCGAGCAGAGGAUUCUCGUGGGCCUCUAUAAAAACGAGAAAUUUAAAAUUAAACGCUAACAAUAACGUAGCACUUCAGGCUGCCUAAGCGCGGCCUCGUCGACCUGGUGGUGCAUCGAGCCAUCAGCCCUCGGCGUCAGUAAUUCGGGCCUGUCCGCAGGAUGGUUAAAGCGGAGAACGGCAUCACUUAAGCUUUGCGGUGAUGCGGCUUUUAUGAAGCUACCUUGAUCGAUACCUUGGCUGUUAGGGCUCUAUCCUGGGAAUUUAAAGAAUAGCCUACGCUCGUAGAUGCCUGCAAGGCGGGAAUUUCGGACAGGAGUUCGACUCUCCUCAUCUCCACCA